UAUGAAUCCGUCACCCAAACACGUCCAGGAGCAAAGGACUCUGGGAAGACAAGAUUAAGGUUUUCAGGUUCAAGAAAACAUGACCAUCUGGCCUGGUCUUUACAUUCACUGUGACACACACUCACACACCGACACAUAUGGAGUUGGUCUUCAUACAAAAAGGAAGUCUGGACAAAACAUCAAGAGACUUUGAAGGCAAUAUUUAUGGAUCUAAUCACUUGGGUCACAGGUGGAGGCCCACAGACACUCAGCUCAUGUUCGAACCAGUCUGGCCAUUCUCUGUUGACCUCUCUCAUCAACAAGGCAUUUCUGUCCACAGAACUGCCCGUCACUGGAUGUUUAUUUGUUUUUAGCGUCAUUCGGAGUAAAUUCUAGAGACUGUUGUGUGUGAAAAUCCCAGGAGAUCAGCAGUUACAGAAAUAUUCAAACCAGCCCAUCUGGCACCAACAUGACACGGUCCAAGUCACAGAGAUCACAUUUUUUCCCAUUCUGAUGGUUGAUGUGAACAUUAACUGAAGCUCCUGACCCGUAUCUGCAUGAUUUUAUGCACUACACUGCUGCCACAAGAUUGGCUGAUUAGAUAAUCACAUGGAUGAUUAAUGGUGUUACCUGAAAAAGCAUGUAUUUUUGAAAGAUUUUGUAGCAAAAAGAGUUUACACAAAUUGGCUUGUUUGGUUAGACAGCUCUCACAUUUUAUUUUCACUC